rnacentral:misc_RNA from 1 species
AAAAAAAGAAAAACUAUAGACUUAUAACAUAAGAACUCUUUAAGGAGCUGAAUAGCUAGAGGGUUCCUAAGCCCCUAGCAGUUUCAGCAAAAAAGAUUCAUGGUGAUCGAUGGGGCUGUCCCGCAGCCUCCGUCGAUGAAACAUUUGCAGCAAUCAGUGUGGUAAGUGAAUCUUCUUUUUGCUUCUUUGACAAAACCCUUUCCUCUAUUGGUU